rnacentral:rRNA from 1 species
UAGGGAAUCUUCGGCAAUGGACGAAAGUCUGACCGAGCAACGCCGCGUGAGUGAAGAAGGUUUUCGGAUCGUAAAACUCUGUUGUUAGAGAAGAACAAGGACGUUAGUAACUGAACGUCCCCUGACGGUAUCUAACCAGAAAGCCACGGCUAACUACGUGCCAGCAGCCGCGGUAAUACGUAGGUGGCAAGCGUUGUCCGGAUUUAUUGGGCGUAAAGCGAGCGCAGGCGGUUUCUUAAGUCUGAUGUGAAAGCCCCCGGCUCAACCGGGGAGGGUCAUUGGAAACUGGGACACUUGAGUGCAGAAGAGGAGAGCGGAAUUCCAUGUGUAGCGGUGAAAUGCGUAGAUAUAUGGAGGAACACCAGUGGCGAAGGCGGCUCUCUGGUCUGUAACUGACGCUGAGGCUCGAAAGCGUGGGGAGCAAACAGG